UGUUGCCCAGGCUGGAGCGCAAUGGCGCGAUCUCGGCUCACUGCAACCUCUGCCUCCUGGCAAUUCUCCUGCCUCAGCCUCCCGAGUAGCCGAGACUACAGGCAUGUGCCACCACGCCUGGCUAAUUUUUUUGUAUUUUUAGUAGAGACAGGGUUUCACCAUGUUGACCAGCCUGGCCAACUUAAUGAAACCCCAUCUCUGCUAACAAUACAGACCAGGCAUGGUGGCUCACACCUGUAAUCCCAGCACUUUGAGAGACCGAGGCAGGUGGAUCACCUGAGGUCGGGAGUUCGAGACCAGCCUGACCAACAUGGAGAAACCCCGUCUCUACUAAAAAUACAAAAUAGCCAGGUGUGAUGGCGCAUGCCUGUAACCCCAUCUACUUGGAAGGCUGAGGCAGGAGAAUCACUUGAAUCUGGGAGGCAGAGGUUGCAGUGAGCCGAGAUGGCGCCAUUGCACUCCAGCCUGGGCAACAAGAGUGAAACUCCGUCUCAAAAAAAAAAAAAAAAAAAAAUUAGCUGGGCAUGGUGGUGGGCGCCUGUAAUCCCAGCUAUCUGGGAGGCUGAGUCUAGAGAAUCAUUUGAACCUGGGAGGCGGAGGUUGCAGUGAGCCGAGAUCGCACCAUUGCACUCCAGCCUGGGCAACAGUGAGACUCCGUCUCAAA
rnacentral:lncRNA from 1 species